rnacentral:misc_RNA from 1 species
UUUCCGUAGGUGAACCUGCGGAAGGAUCAUUAUUGGAUUUUGAAACUUCAGGCUGCUGCUGGCUCUCCUCGGAGGGCAUGUGCACGCUUGUUGUCCAUUAUUUCUCCCACUGUGCACAAAUUGUAGACCUUUCAGAAGGCCUAUGUUGUUUUUCACAAUCUCUGAAUGUAAUAGAAUGGUUUUGAAUCUUGGGAAAUACAAUACAACUUUCAGCAACGGAUCUCUUGGCUCUC